GACGAACGCUGGCGGCGUGCCUAAUACAUGCCAGUUGAGCGAUGAAGAUUGGUGCUUGCACCAAUUUGAAGAGCAGCGAACGGGUGAGUAACGCGUGGGGAAUCUGGCUUUGAGCGGGGGACAACAUUUGGAAACGAAUGCUAAUACCGCAUAACAACUUUAAACAUAAGUUUUAAGUUUGAAAGAUGCAAUUGCAUCACUCAAAGAUGAUCCCGCGUUGUAUUAGCUAGUUGGUGAGGUAAAGGCUCACCAAGGCGAUGAUACAUAGCCGACCUGAGAGGGUGAUCGGCCACAUUGGGACUGAGACACGGCCCAAACUCCUACGGGAGGCAGCAGUAGGGAAUCUUCGGCAAUGGACGAAAGUCUGACCGAGCAACGCCGCGUGAGUGAAGAAGGUUUUCGGAUCGUAAAACUCUGUUGGUAGAGAAGAACGUUGGUGAGAGUGGAAAGCUCAUCAAGUGACGGUAACUACCCAGAAAGGGACGGCUAACUACGUG
rnacentral:rRNA from 1 species